rnacentral:lncRNA from 1 species
UUUCAAAUAAUAGAUGUAAUUUACAUUAUACUAUCAUUUAACAAGUAUUAGAUACGUUUUGAUAUAUCAAUAUUUUCUAUUUUCUGAAAAAAUAAAUUGUUAAACAAUAUCGUCUAGGUUAAGUAUACUAACAGCACAAAUUCAAACAUCACAUAAAACAUUUACAUAAACAUUAUAAUUUAAUAAUUUAAUCAAAAAAUACAAUUCAAAAAAACUAUAUUCAAAAGAAUAGUUAUAUACUUAAUAUUUGAAAAUCAAAGAUAUUUUUGCUAAAAUUGUACUUACCUGGCCAAGGAGAUCGACUAUCUUUUUACGGAUCGAUCGAUUGUUGAGCAUGUGGUCGAUCCGAAAAU